rnacentral:piRNA from 1 species
UGAUAAUCUUUGGUGAUUUCUUCUUGU